AUAUUUUCCUACUGAAGUGAAAACCAAAGAAGAGAUUUUACCCAGAGUUGAAACGUUAAGUUCUUAAAUUCUGUUCUUUGAUACAUGUUCUCAUAUAGGCCAGGUUGGCCUCAAACUUAUAUUGUAACCAAGGCUAGCCUUGAAUUACUGGCCUCUUGGCUCCAUUUCCUAGUACUGGUAUUACAGGCAUGUGCUUCCAUGCCUGGCCUGGCUAGGUUUUGAAAUUUUAAGAAGUAAUGACUUUUCAGCAAAAGUGUCAAUUUUCUAAUGGAAAGUGACCAUCUUUCUCCAAAACACAAACUUACACUAAGUACUUUCUCCUAGACAAUGUUUCAGUAUCAUGUGAUGAAUUUCUUCUAAAGAGCCGAAAGAGUGCCCUAGUCAGCUCUGUCCAAACCAGAAUUUCAGAUAAAUCUACAAACCUAGGUUGUUAGCUACUAUAAUGUGUCAAGCAAGCACCAAAGCGGAAAUGGAGAGGAAGAAUAGUUGGGUUAAUCUGAAAAAGGCCUUUAAGUAUACUUUGGAAACAAAUUUGAAGGAAUUAAAAUGUGUAUCCCCCAACUGUAAUAAAACAUUAGCAUAAUGGUAGAUCAUGUCCUAUGGGGGAGGGUGUCUUACUUUCAGCUGUCUUCUGAAUUGGUGAUACUCGAGUGAUUUCCAAACUUUGAACACUGGCUAGUCAGUGUUCAAACUUCAGGAAUAGUGUCCAUUAGAGGAAGCAGCUACCAGACAAUGGAGCUGAGACCAUCAGGGCGAAGGGUAGAAUCAAGUUUGAAAAUGACUUUCCUUCCUCAGCAAUUCAUGGUUCUCAGGACACCCUGACCCUUGUCAUCUGUUCAUUCAUCAUGACAUUGGCACCUGCUGGCCAGGGCUACAGAAAAGAAGUCAGUGGGAUCAAAACAUUUAUUUCACUUCUUACAAUGACUUUAAAAGUGAACAGGGUGGGCUGUAGCCCAGUGGUUCAGUUUGUACCAGCCCUGAUUUUUAAAGAUUUAUUUUUUAAAAGUUUAAUAAAUUUAAUAUUUAUUUAUUGUUUGAGUCCUCUAUCUGCAUGUAUGACUUUACGCCAGAAGACAGCAUCAGAUCCCACUAUAGAUGAUUGUGAGCCACCAUGCGGUUGCUGGGAAUCGAACUCAGGACUUAUGGAAGAUCAGCCAGUGCUCCUAACUGCUGAGCCAUCUCUCCAGCCCCCACAAUUAUACUUUGAAGUGAAGAUGAUUCAUAAAGCACUCAACACACAGAAGCACCUAAUAACCUAAAACAUCUCAUCACUGGGUUACAAAGGAGUGCAAUCUGAGCAGAAGAGAAAUCAUCUAACCGAUACCACUGAACCACAAAUUAUGCCAGUCCACCAUUGGGAUUCAGGGUCUGGAGAACAAGCUCAUGGAAUACAAAACAGUAAGAGUCUGACAUGGUGGCUCAUAUCUGUAAUGACAGCACUUGAGACAAAAGCAGGAGGAUUGCCAUGAAUGCCAGACCAGCCUCAGCUACAAAUUGAAAUCCUGUCUUGGGGGGACAAAGUGGGGGACAAUGUUGAAGACAUGGUCACAAGCAGUAGUUAUUUCUCUUCCUGAAGAUCUGAGUUAGCUUCCAGCAUCUACAUCAGGCAGCUCACUACUGCCUGUAACUCCAGUUCUGUAGGCUCCAACAACUUCUGGUUCUGCACAUAUAUGUGUGUGUGUGUGUGUGUGUGUGUGUGUGUAAUUUUUUUAUAUGUGAGUUAAAAAAAAUUGGGGAAUUGGUGUGAGGCUGUCAGAUUCCUUGGGACUAAGUUACAGACAGGUGUGAGCUGUAAUGUGGGUGCUGGGAGAAACCAGCUGGAAGGGAGCCAGUUCUCUUAAUCGCCGAGCCAUCUCUCCAGCCCCUAUUUUUGUUUUGGUUUUUUAGUUUGUUUUUUCAGAUAGGGUUUUUCUGCUUAACAGUCCUGGCUGUCCUGUUUGCAUCCCAAGUGCUGGGGAUUAAAGGCAUGCGAAAACACCCCUAGCUGUAGUUACUUUUGUUUGUGUUUUUGUUUUUAGAGACAGGUUUUCUUUGUGUAGCAUUGGAGCCUGUCCUGCCACUUGCUCUGUAGACCAGGCUGGCCUCAAACUCAGAGAUCCGCCUGCCUCUGCCUUCCGAGUGCUGGGAUCAAAGGCGAGCGGCACCAACGCCCGGCUUGUAGUUACUUUUUAAAUAAAUGGAUAACAGGCAUAGUUAGUGGUGCACAUCUGUAAUCCCAGCAGUAAGGAAGCUGUAAAAGAAUUAGAUCAAGGCUAGGUGCCCUUUCCCCACCCCACGAACCUCCACCUAAAGAAAAGAAAAAGGCUUAGGAGAGCCACUUACACAAUAGGUACUCCCUGUAACUAAUAAUAUGAGUGAGAAUAUAGUCUUAAGAAAAUAGAUGCCCCUCACCAGCUCUCAGGAACAGUUAGUAGUUAAAAAAAAAAAAAAAAGAAGCCUAAUUUAACUGGAAAGUGAUUGAAAAUGAGAGUGGAGGUGGAAACACUUUUAAGAGUAUAGCGAGCCAUUACUUCAUCUAAUUAACCACCUCUUAAAUGGAGUCUGAGGCAUGAGUCGCAAAAAAAAUAGUGAAUUACAAACUUUAUUGACAGGCUGCAAACACUGCAGCAGAGCCCUUCCAAUCAACUAGACAGUUACAACAGCGGUCUCCGCAGCCACACCCUUCCACGUGCCUUUUAUGUCUGCAAAAAUCUGCAGGCCCAGAGACCCAAAGGUCCUUCCUCCCCUCUGUCCCCAUCCCUAAAGUGUUAGGACCUGCUUGUUUGAGAUGAUCCUAAUCUUGUCCCUUAUCUGUCCCAGCAACCAAAAUGUGCUCCUUCCAAGCCAGGACCAAUGGAUCAGGUCACAUCGUGAUGGAUGACAAGGAUGUGGCUUAUGGGCUGCAGAUGCGUUUGCUGAAGACAGUAGGCGGAGGGUGGAAAGAGGCACUGAAAUGAGGCGAGUCCCUGCGGAGAGCCCAGCUUGACCAGCCGCACCUGACACCGAGCAGAGCGGCCCCGGAAAUGGUUCCGCACGCUCCUUGCGUCAGAAGGAGACGCUGUGCCUGGGUUGCAUCUGGGCCAUGCAGAAUCCCCAGAUUAGAUCCCGCCCCUGUUCCGCGCACGCGCAGUAAGGACUUAAGCAUCGGGUGGUUUCCGGCUGUAACAGAAAAGACUAAUCUACUCCGGAAAGACCUUUCUCUGGGCCCUGUGCUUGCAGAAAUUUGAGUCUGUUUACAUCGCGUCCUCACACGGGUUUCCAGUUGCAGAAUGGAGCGGUGCCUGACUGGGAAAAAGGAAGCCCUGGGCAAGACUAAGGAGCGGGUUGUAAAGAAGACAGUGCAUUGGGUGAACCUGAGAGAAGAACCCGCUCCUGGAGAUGUCAAAAACAAUUCUUCAAAAUAAAUACCAGUCACACAUAAAUUCGGAAGAGGAGGAACACUUGGUUUUACUAAGAAAAUAUACUUCAAAUACAAAACCCAAAGACAUUAAGGAAUAAAGCAAAAGAACAUUUAGGGGGCUGGAGAAACAAUUCAGUAGUUAAAAGGCACUGGGUGCUCUUGUAGACGACCCAGGUUCAAUCUUCAGCACCCACAUGGCAUCUCAUAACCGUCCAUAUCUCUAAUUUUAGGGACUCAACAUCGUUUGACCUUCUUGAGCAGAGGCAUGUACAUUGUGCCAUCUUACACGCAGAGACUUACAAAAUACCCAUACACAUAAAAUAUUUUAAUUUAAAGCUUUUAGACUAAUAGCUCAUGAAUUU
ensembl:lncRNA